GCGGGGUGCACGUGGCACGCAUGCACCUGUGGCAAGCCGCCUGUCAGGAUGUUAUUACACCUGCCAAGUGGUGGAUCCAGAAACAAAAGAGGCCCAGCUUCUAAUUCCUCAGCUGUGUGCAGCGUUGGAAAAAUCGUUAUACCGGGAAAUAAUCCUGCCUAAGUGGGGCAGCCCUCGCAGGCCGGGAUGGAGACACAUGCACCGGAGAUAGCCUAGGAAUGUGGCGAGACCACUUGAAGGGGAUCCUGAGGAAGAUGCUUCCAAAGUCAUGGGUAUCCUUGGGGAGCAGAAUUUCAGAAGAAUGAGAGGAGGAAGCCAGAUUACCCCAGGAGAGGAUGGCCUGGGGACUCACUCUACAGGCCCCUGCCCGCCCUGCUGAAGCCGGGAAUCAGGAGCCGCCCCCAGUUGCUGUGCCUCCGCCCGGCCCGGUCCUGCCACCAGCUGUCAGGCCACCACCGCUGCCCCCGGGCCGGCAGGUCGCCCAGCACCCACUGUCCCCGUGUUCAGAGGGCUGAGGGGCUCCUGGGGCCCAGUAGUGAAGGUGGGCCUCGGCCCAGGUCGUGACCCCGGGCCCUGCUUGGGGGGGGGGGGGCUGCUGCUGCGUCUCCCCUGCCCCCUCGUGACCUCGCUCGCUCGCUCUCGGGUAACUAGAUGGGAAGGUCAGAAAGGAACCUGAGGAGGCCGGCCUCGCCCCGCCGGCGCCCCAGCAGCCGCCCCAGC